UUGAGCAUAAUCACGCACUUGCCUGAUCGAGCUAUGUUGGUUUAAUGCUUCGAUUGGAAUCAUAUCUUGAGCAACUGGAUCUGGACCCCAUAAAGCAUGCCCUAGCCCAUAUAAUAUUUGAGGAUGGAUAGGUCUAUUUCUAGGCCCUUCUUAGGUUGGUCAAUCGAUCCUUUCAAGUUGUGACUGACACAUGCGAAUAAGCAUCCAGGCGGCUCUGCAAUCC
rnacentral:lncRNA from 1 species